rnacentral:rRNA from 1 species
UACGAAGGGGGCUAGCGUUGCUCGGAAUCACUGGGCGUAAAGGGUGCGUAGGCGGGUCUUUAAGUCAGGGGUGAAAUCCUGGAGCUCAACUCCAGAACUGCCUUUGAUACUGAAGAUCUUGAGUUCGGGAGAGGUGAGUGGAACUGCGAGUGUAGAGGUGAAAUUCGUAGAUAUUCGCAAGAACACCAGUGGCGAAGGCGGCUCACUGGCCCGAUACUGACGCUGAGCACGAAAGCGUGGGGAGCAAACAGG